CAAGAGCAAGCAGAACCUCUCUGACCGCUCGCGCCAGGCCUACACUUUCCACCUCAUGGAGGCCUCUGGCACCACCUGGAGCCCGGAGAACUGAGCAGUAGAGAACUGUGGACUAUUCUGCUUGGAAGGUCAGCUCUGAGAGAGCUGGUCAGAUUGAGGCAGAACUGAAUAAACAUUGGCGGCGAUUGUUAGAGGGGCUUUCUUACUACAAACCUCCCAGCCAAGUUCAGCUGAAAAAGUGAAAGCUAAUAAAGAUGUAGCUUCACCAUUGAAGGAACUGGGUUUAAGAAUCAGCAAGUUUUUGGUCUUGAUGAAGAACAGAGUGUGCAGUUACUCCAGUGUUACCUGCAAGAGGACUACAGGGGUACUCGGG
rnacentral:lncRNA from 1 species